AAUCCCGUGAACCAUCGAGUCUUUGAACGCUUGGUGCGCCCCAAGCCUUCUGGCCGAGGGCACGUCUGCCUGGGUGUCACAAAUCGUCGUCCCCAUCCCCCGCGGAUACGGGAUGGAAGCUGGUCUCCCGUGUGGUACCGCACGCGGUUGGCCAAAAUCCGAG
rnacentral:rRNA from 1 species